GUGAAUCAUCGAAUCUUUGAACGCAAAUUGCACUUUUUGGUAUUCCAGAGAGUAUGCCUGUUUGAGGGUUAGUUUAACUAAAAAUUGGUGUGGCUGUUGCCUUUCGUGGUGACGCAUCGGAUUUGGGUCGUCUUGCCUUCGGUUAAGAGACCUAAAAUUCCGAAUGCUUUUUUUCGAAUGUAAUUUAAUGAUUUCACGUACGUU
rnacentral:misc_RNA from 1 species